rnacentral:rRNA from 1 species
AGGACGAACGCUGGCGGCGUGCUUAACACAUGCAAGUCGAGCGGUAAGGCCCUUUCGGGGGUACACGAGCGGCGAACGGGUGAGUAACACGUGAGCAAUCUGCCCUUCACUUCGGGAUAAGCCUCGGAAACGGGGUCUAAUACCGGAUAUGACCGCGCUACGCAUGUGGUGUGGUGGAAAGUUCUGGCGGUGGAGGAUGAGCUCGCGGCCUAUCAGUCUUGUUGGUAGGGUAAUGGCCUACCAAGGCUUCGACGGGUAGCCGGCCUGAGAGGGUGACCGGCCACGACUGGGACUGAGACGCGGCCCAGACUCCGUACGGGAGCAGACGAGGUGGGAAUAGUUGGAACAAGUGGGACGAAACGCCUGACUCCAGG